rnacentral:rRNA from 1 species
GACCCGACUGCUAUCGGAUAGAGAUUAAGCCAUGCUAGUUGAACAUUUCUUAACUAUGUGAGAAGUGUAGCGUACUGCUCAGUAACACGUGGUCAACCUGCCCUAGAGACGUGUAUAACCCCGGGAAACUGGGACUAAUACGCGAUAAGUCAUAUUUUCUGGAAUGGUUUAUGAUAUAAAGGAUUUUUCAAACAUGUUUGAUUUAUUGCUUUAGGAUGGGACUGCGGCCGAUCAGGUUGUUGGUGGGGUAAUGGCCCACCAAGCCUAUUACCGGUGCGGGCUUUGAGAGAAGGAGCCUGGAGAUGGACACUGAGAAAAGGGUCCAGGCCCUACGGGGCGCAGCAGGCGCGAAAACUUCGCAAUGUGCGAAAGCACGACGAGGUUAAUCCGAGUGCAACAUGCUGAAUGUAGCUUUUGAUAAGUGUAAGUAGUUUAUUGAAUAAGGGGAGGGAAAGUCUGGUGUCAGCCGCCGCGGUAAUACCAGCUCCCCGAGUGGUCGGGACGAUUAUUGGGCCUAAAGCAUCCGUAGCCUGUUCUGUAGGUCUUAUGUUAAAACCAAUUGCUUAACAAUUGGACUGCAUGAGAUACCACAAAACUAGGAGGCGGGAGAGGUGGACGGUACUCCACGGGUAGUGGUAAAAUGCUCUGAUCCGUGGAAGACCACCAGUGGCGAAGGCGGUCCACCAGAACGCGCUCGACGGUGAGGGAUGAAAGCUGGGGUAGCGAACCGGAUUAGAUACCCGGGUAGUCCCAGCUGUAAACGAUGCAAGCUAGGUGAUGGAUUAGCCACGUGUUAAUCCAGUGCCGCAGGGAAGCCGUUAAGCUUGCCGCCUGGGGAGUACGGUCGCAAGGCUGAAACUUAAAGGAAUUGGCGGGGGAGCACCACAAGGGGUGAAGCCUGCGGUUCAAUUGGAGUCAACGC